UACGAAGGGGGCGAGCGUUGUUCGGAUUUACUGGGCGUAAAGGGCGCGUAGGCGGCGGGUCAAGUCGAGUGUGAAAGCCCCGGGCUCAACCUGGGAAUUGCGCUCGAGACUGGUCUGCUUGAGUUCGGGAGAGGAGAGUGGAAUUCCCAGUGUAGAGGUGAAAUUCGUAGAUAUUGGGAAGAACACCGGUGGCGAAGGCGGGCUCACUGGCCCGGUACUGACG
rnacentral:rRNA from 1 species